rnacentral:lncRNA from 1 species
AAAGAAAUGUAAACCCAAAUCGAUUAACCGUUUUCCAAAUCCAAAUUGAAAGUUGUUUCCUAAUAUGCUCUUCGUUGCAUCUUCGACCCAUAGUUACAUAUUUUGUAUCUCUUUCUCCAUUAGAGGAUUUUGUAUCAGAGCUUUUUCUGGUGAUAUUGAAUUGAUCUUCCUUCAUGACUCUUCAAUCAAUAACAUUCUUCUUUUGAUGAUCUUCCUUUGUGACUCUUCAAUAAAGUAUGGCUGUUAAUUAAUCGCACUCUUAGCGUCCAAAUCGGCGUUGAUUUAGUGUUGGUUUUACAGUAAGUUCGAAGCUCUGCUCUCUAGUUUAUUUCGCCCUUUUCAUUUCAGCUUUUAUUGUCCUUUUGCAAUUCGUCUUUUAUCAAGUUUUAUCUUGAGUUUCUCUUAUCUCUUCUUAAAGUUGCAAACAAUUAUAUGCUUUUAACUUAAUAUUUGUAAUGGACUCUUAGUUUGAACUAAGACCCCCAAAAGCACUAAUCCUUAGUUCAGACUAAAAGCCCACUACGGAUAUUAAGUUAAAAGCAUAUAAGCAUAGUUUAAUUUAAUGCUUUAUAAGCAUUGAGAAUAGUUUAAUUUACUGGUGCUAUUCAAGGGAAGGCUUUAUAAGCAUAUCGGUUUCGCGUCGCAAAGUCGCACUGAUGUAUUAAUCUUUAAUCGCAGUUCAGUUUUUAUGUUGCUAUCACUGGAGAAACCAAAAGCAAGCUUAUAUAUCUUUAUUGUCUGUAAAAGAUUCAACAUUAAAAUCUUCUACUCAUUGUGUUAUUAUAAUAUUAUCAAAAAGUUUUCCUUGUUUUUUCCCAUGGAUAAUCAUAGAUUUAAAAAAAAAAGACAUUCACAUGAAAUAUGUCUCUAUAUAUGUGCAUUGCAAAGCAUGAUACGCUUACAUAUAUGAGGCGUAUAAUUACUUUGACAUCAUCUUUGUAAACUUGAAGCACAUGGAGCAAAGUAAGCCAAUCUCACUGGGCUUGAGCUAAUUGGAGCUCCAAUUUCGACAUUGAGUGUGAACUUUGGCAAGGGAAGCCAUAUAAUCAUCAGACCUGAGAGGAAAAAUGAGUCCAAAACUCUCAAUGUAUUUAAUUUAGUUACUCGACUAUAUGGGUUUUAAUUGGACCAACCUUAGUCCAUAAGGGGAUUGACAUGCAUUCACUAUAUGAAGCUUGGCACCAUCAGGUUUACUCU